AUCUUCACAGCAUGAAGAGUGCGGGAUGGGGCAGGAAACCGGAAGGAGUCCAGGUUUUGCACCCGAUAAGGAGACGCACAAAGAAGCCGAGGAGAUGCCAUGUGAGGAUGCAGCAAGGAGUCGGGCAGUCUAAAAGCAAAGAAACAGAUUUCAUCAGACACUGCAUCUGCUGACACCUUGUUCUUGCACAUCCAGCUUCCAAAACCGCAAGAAAUAAACGUCUGUGUCUAACCCCCAACCCUACCACCCCACCUCCCGUGUGUGGUAUUUUGUGAUGGCAGCCCCAGCUGACUGAGACACCUGGUUAGACCGGAAUAAGCAGUACCUGAGUCCCUUAAGAGUGGCCAAAGAAUAAAGAAUCCACUGAGUUGACAUUCCAGUUCAGCUGCAAUCAGUAGUAAUCACCGUUGAACAUCCAUGAAGCAAUUCUUCCAAAAUUACCUUGCAUCAAAGACUGCACAAGAACUGCUCUAAGUGGAAGAACUGAUGUCGGCAACCAGGGUCCCACCAGGGGCUGCAGACAGCCCUUGACCUUCAGGUGGGAAGGUGUCACUGAGUUCAGACACUCUGGCAAUCCCUAGCAAUCAACAUUCUGAUAAGAAAAUAAGCGGAAAGGUAAAAUUAGACAAAGAGAUUAUUACCUUAGAGGACAAUUAAGCA